GACACUUUGGCCGAGUGGGUUAAGGCGGCGGCCUGCGUUGCCGUUGAGCUACGCCCGCGAGGGUUCUGAACUCCCUCAGGUGUCG